rnacentral:rRNA from 1 species
UACGUAGGGUGCGAGCGUUGUCCGGAAUUAUUGGGCGUAAAGAGCUUGUAGGCGGUUUGUCGCGUCUGCUGUGAAAAUCCGGGGCUCAACCCCGGACUUGCAGUGGGUACGGGCAGACUAGAGUGUGGUAGGGGAGACUGGAAUUCCUGGUGUAGCGGUGAAAUGCGCAGAUAUCAGGAGGAACACCGGUGGCGAAGGCGGGUCUCUGGGCAAUACUGACGCUGAGAGCGAAAGCGUGGGGAGCGAACAGG